CUAGCCCUGAAAAUGGAUGGCGCUCAAGCGUCCUCCCGAUACUCGACCGUUGGGGCAGUAACGGCCCUUGCGGGUCUCGAAGCCCCAACGAGUAGGAGGGUCGUGGCGGUGAGCGUUGAAGGGACCGGCGUGAGCCGGCCUGGAGCCGCCGCUAGUGCAGAUCUUGGUGGUAGUAGCAAAUACUCGAGUGAGAUCCUUGAGGACUGACCGUGGAGAAGGGUUCCAUGUGAACAUCAGUUGAACAUGGGUUAGUCGGUCCUAAGCCUCAGCCGAAAGGCGUCUCAGCGCUGGCAAGGUGUCAACCCAAACUCCUCUCUCCGGAGAGGGGGACGCUUUGGACCCGGAAAGACCCCAGCAAUGGGGUCAGGAAAGGUCCGUCGGGCGUCCUGGUCUCCUCCCAGCAAUGGGAGGGUCAGGCGUUUGCCGUACAGCCGUUGUAGAUUUGCAGGCGAAAGGAAUCUGGUACUUAUUCCAGAACCUCGUCCCGGAUAAGACGUCCCCGAGCCUUCGGGCGAGGGUAUAACGGUCCUGGUAACGGGAAUGACCCUGCAUACACUGCGGCGGUCCGGGGAAGAGUUUUCUUUUUCUGUUUAAGACUCCGUGACCCUGGAAGCUACUCGCAAGGCGAUAGGGUCGUGGUAGCGUAGAGCGCCGCGGUUCUUGCGGCGUCCCGUGCGCCGUCGUCGGUCCUUGAAAAUGCAGGCGAGGGCGGAAACCCAAGGUCGCAUCACGCACACGGGCCUCAAAACCUGUAUGGAAGUUGCCUCCGACGGGGUAGUAAGCUCUCUGACGUCCUUGACUGGUUAACCGAAGGGAAAGGUUCUCGAACCCUACCCCGAAGAAACACCAUCAUCUCGUCCGGUCAGACGGCGGAGUUGGUUCACACCAACACCCCAUCACGGACUUUCGGGCGAGUCCGUACCCAUAUCCGCAGCAGGUCUCCAAGGUGAAUAGCCUCUAGUCGAUAGAUUAAUGUAGGUAAGGGAAGUCGGCAAAUUA
rnacentral:rRNA from 1 species